CAGCCGCCACGGUAAAACGGAGGGUGCAAGCGUUAAUCGGAAUUACUGGGCGUAAAGCGUGCGUAGGUGGUGGUUUAAGUCCGUUGUGAAAGCCCUGGGCUCAACCUGGGAAUUGCAGUGGAUACUGGGUCACUAGAGUGUGGUAGAGGAUAGUGGAAUUUCCGGUGUAGCAGUGAAAUGCGUAGAGAUCGGAAGGAACAUCUGUGGCGAAGGCGACUAUCUGGGCCAACACUGACACUGAGGCACGAAAGCGUGGGGAGCAAACAGGAUUAGAGACCCGCGUAGUCCCUGUCUCUUAUAC
rnacentral:rRNA from 1 species